UAGGGAAUCUUCGGCAAUGGACGAAAGUCUGACCGAACAACGCCGCGUGAGUGAAGAAGGUUUUCGGAUCGUAAAACUCUGUUGUUAGAGAAGAACAAGGACGUUAGUAACUGAACGUCCCCUGACGGUAUCUAACCAGAAAGCCACGGCUAACUACGUGCCAGCAGCCGCGGUAAUACGUAGGUGGCAAGCGUUGUCCGGAUUUAUUGGGCGUAAAGCGAGCGCAGGCGGUUUCUUAAGUCUGAUGUGAAAGCCCCCGGCUCAACCGGGGAGGGUCAUUGGAAACUGGGAGACUUGAGUGCAGAAGAGGAGAGUGGAAUUCCAUGUGUAGCGGUGAAAUGCGUAGAUAUAUGGAGGAACACCAGUGGCGAAGGCGGCUCUCUGGUCUGUAACUGACGCUGAGGCUCGAAAGCGUGGGGAGCAAACAGG
rnacentral:rRNA from 1 species